rnacentral:rRNA from 1 species
AUUGCCCUAGUAACGGCGAGUGAAGCGGCAACAGCUCAAAUUUGAAAUCUGGCUCCCUUGGGGGUCCGAGUUGUAAUUUGUAGAGGGUGCUUUGGCGUUGGCCCCGGCCUAAGUUCCUUGGAACAGGACGUCAUAGAGGGUGAGAACCCCGUACGUGGCCGGCGGUCUUCGCCGUGUAAAGCCCCUUCGACGAGUCGAGUUGUUUGGGAAUGCAGCUCUAAAUGGGAGGUAAAUUUCUUCUAAAGCUAAAUAUUGGCCAGAGACCGAUAGCGCACAAGUAGAGUGAUCGAAAGAUGAAAAGCACUUUGGAAAGAGAGUCAAAAAGCACGUGAAAUUGUUGAAAGGGAAGCGCUUGCAGCCAGACUUGCCUGUAGUUGCUCAUCCGGGCUCUUGCCCGGUGCACUCUUCUGCGGGCAGGCCAGCAUCAGUCCAGGCGGUCGGAUAAAGGCCUUGGGAAUGUGGCUCUCUUCGGGGAGUGUUAUAGCCCAGGGUGCAAUGCGGCCAGCUUGGACUGAGGUCCGCGCAUCUGCUAGGAUGCUGGCGUAAUGGCUGUAAGCGGCCCGUCUUGAAACACGGACCAAGGAGUCUAACAUCUAUGCGAGUGUUUGGGUGUCAAGCCCGAACGCGUAAUGAAAGUGAACGGAGGUGGGAACCCCUCGGGGCGCACCAUCGACCGAUCCUGAUGUCUUCGGAUGGAUUUGAGUAAGAGCAUAGCUGUUGGGACCCGAAAGAUGGUGAACUAUGCCUGAAUAGGGUGAAGCCAGAGGAAACUCUGGUGGAGGCUCGCAGCGGUUCUGACGUGCAAAUCGAUCGUCAAAUUUGGGCAUAGGGGCGAAAGACUAAUCGAACUAUCUAGUAGCUGGUUCCUGCCGAAGUUUCCCUCAGGAUAGCAGUAACGUUUUCAGUUUUAUGAGGUAAAGCGAAUGAUUAGAGGCAUGGGGGUUGAAACAACCUUCACCUAUUCUCAAACUUUAAAUAUGUAAGAAGUCCUUGUUACUUAAUUGAACGUGGACAUUUGAAUGUACCGUUACUAGUGGGCCAUUUUUGGUAAGCAGAACUGGCGAUGCGGGAUGAACCGAACGCGGGGUUAAGGUGCCAGAAUGCACGCUCAUCAGACACCACAAAAGGUGUUAGUUCAUCUAGACAGCAGGACGGUGGCCAUGGAAGUCGGAAUCCGCUAAGGAGUGU